CCCAGGCACCCGAAUGAUUCAGGUUUCGUCGAGCCCGAGUCAAGUAAAUUUGGUUCUCUGGUUCGAUUCAACCAGAUGAGAACGACAUCCUCAAAUUCGGACCCGUGCCCUAAAUGCAGCGGUGAAACUGUCUCCUUCUCUACAGCGACCGCGACUGCGGCGUUUUCCUCGGCGAAAGGCGGCAGCAGCGGCGGCAUCUUCCUCCGUCGAGCUCUUAUCGCUGCGGCGUUUUCCUCCGAGAACGGUGGAUGCUGCGGCUUCCUCUCCGUCAGCGAACGGUACAGCGCCCGGGAUAUGGGAUGCUUGGUAGUGUCUAAACCCACCAACUACAAUGGAAAAAUAAGUGGAAUAUUGUGUCUGUGCGCUGGUGUUGUCUGAUGCCAUUAUUUCAGUGGUGGAGAAUUGCUCGGAUAUGAGCAUGAUAAUAAGUAACUAAGCAUAGGUACUCUUUAUCAACUCUCAAACACCAUUUAGAGACUUAUCUCUGAAAGAAAUGGCUGAUUGGAACUAAAUGCAUGUGCAUUAACAUGAUUGGUAAAGGAAUGUUGUCUGAGACAGAUGAUUAGUCGAAAGUUUUCAACAUCCUUGAUUUGAGGUAGAAGAGGAAUUUGGACUUGGAGAGGGCAUAAACAAGACUACUUUUCUUGUAUUUUUCUGCAAACAGUGCGGGAUACUGCCUCAAAAGACUAAUGUUUUCGGUCCAGCAGAGGCUCUUUUACCUUCUCUCUUGUAACAAGUCCAACAUCCAUCUUUCCUCCUAUCAACUCUGCAGUCUGUUUAGCUUUUCCACUGCCAAAGAGCACAGUUCAAAUCAUAGAUCCAACUUUACAUUGGUCGACCCCCUUGAGUCAUGUGAACUUUCCUCAAAAGAGGCUGCAAAAACGGCUGAUGAUCGCAUCUGUGAAAAAAAACUUUCAAGUUCAAGUCCUUCCAUUGAGUUCUUUAAGCAGAGUGGUUGGAGUGAUGCACAAGUCAUGAAGCUUAUGCAGAGGGAACCCGGGUUUCUACGUGCUAACGUAGAGACUAUCCUGAAGCCUAGGAUGAGAUCUUUGCAGGACAUGGGAUUUUCUGACACUGAAAUAGUUCAGCUGGUUUCAUCAUGUCCAAGGGUGCUCCUUCUACGUGACAUCCAACUGAGGAUCAACUUCUGGAGGUCACUUCUUGGUUCUAAUGAGUGGUUAAUUAAAGCCUUCAGGAGGAGCAUGUUUCUCCUUACUUCUAGCUUGGCUCGAAAGAUUGAGCCCAAUAUAUCUCUCUUGAGGGAAUGUGGCAUUAGUGAACAACGCAUUGCGCAGAUGGUGGUGAAACUACCAAGAUUUUUAUGUCGAACAGAAAAAUGUAUCAAGGAAUUUAUCGAACACGUUGAGGAGUUGGGUGUGUCACGUGACUGUAAAAUCUUCCCUCGUGCACUAUUAUCAGUCAUGACCCUGAGCAGGUCCAGGUUUGAUGCUACCUUUGCAACCCUGAUGAGCUUUGGGUGGUCCCAACCAGACUGCAUUGCUGCAUUCAGGAGGCAUCCAGUCAUUUGGAAUCUCUCAAAGAAGAACUUAUGUGAUAAGAUGACAUUCCUGAUGAAGGAAGCUGGUUGUGAGCUGACAUAUAUCAUUUAUCAUCCUGUGCUUCUUACAUAUAGCUUGGAGAAGAGGUUGAGACCUCGAUAUGAAGUUAUGAAUUUUCUUGAUCAGAAUAAAUUGCUGGAUAAAGGAUAUAACCUGCAAUUUGUCGUGAAGCUAUCUGAAGAGAAGUUCAGAAACAAAUUCCUUUUCCUGCUACGCAAGGAGAAUUUUAUUGCUCAAUAUGAUUCCUAUGUCGUUGCUGUGCAUGGAAAGCACGACGUUGUUGUGGAAAACUAGGAUUGCAAGUGCUUCCUUAAGACAAAGUGUCAACCUAUUGCAUGCUGACUGCAAGUUAAUCACUUUUUAUUUGUGACCAUUUAAAUUCUGCAGGAGUUUCUUUGAGUAUAACUUCCACGUUGAUUUGGUGAUUGUUCUUCUAUUUAUUUUUUCUACAACAAAAGGUACUGUUUCUUUUA